rnacentral:tRNA from 1 species
GGUCCGCUGGCUCAAUGGCAGAGCGUCUGACUACGGUUUUAUCAGGAGGUUCCAGGUUCGACCCCUGGGUGGAUCG